UCAAACAGACCAAAGGAAUAAAAUCCAGAUCAACCACAUGAGUGAUGAAGCUCAGGAAGAAGCAAUAGCCAGAAUACAUGACAAUCUCAAAUGACUCCUCCAUAGCAUCUAGACAUGCGAUCUAAGAUGUCUCAUCUACGCAUGAAGCUGGACGUAAUGAGUAGGUCAAUGUCAUGCCAUGACCAAAGUAGAACCCAUGACGACAAAACCUACUAAUAAGUUUUAAGUGGGUCAUAAACUAGAUAUAUAGAAGAAC
rnacentral:lncRNA from 1 species